CCUACGGGUGGCAGCAGUGAGGAAUAUUGGUCAAUGGGCGGGAGCCUGAACCAGCCAAGUCGCGUGAGGGAAGAAGGUACUGAGUAUUGUAAACCUCUUUUGCCAGGGGACAAAGGCGGCCACGGGUGGCCGUAAGAGGGUACCUGGAGAAAAAGCAUCGGCUAACUCCGUGCCAGCAGCAGCGGUAAUACGGAGGAUGCGAGCGUUAUCCGGAUUUAUUGGGUUUAAAGGGUGCGCAGGCGGCGUGUCAAGUCAGCGGGAAAAUGUCGGGGCUCAACCCCGGCCGGCCGUUGAAACUGGCGUGCUCGAGUUGGAGAGAAGUAUGCGGAAUUCGUGGUGUAGCGGUGAAAUGCAUAGAUAUCACGAAGAACCCCGAUUGCGAAGGCAGCCUGCCGGGGUGCGACUGACGCUGAGGCUCGAAGGUGCGGGUAUCAAACAGGAUUAGAUACCCCAGUAGUC
rnacentral:rRNA from 1 species